AAUAAACGCUAGCACGACACCUUAGACAUGCAAGUCGAACGCUUUGUGCGUGGCGAACGGGUGAGUAACACGUGAGAACCUGCCCCAAUGGCCGUAUAAAUAACGGUUUAAAGAUGGUAUCCUGUUGGGAUGGGCUCGCGCAAGAUUAGGUUGUUGGUAGGGUAAUGGCCUCCCAAGCCUUUGAUCUUUAGCGGUUUUGAGAGGAAGAUCCGCCACACUGGGACUGAGAAACGGCCCAGACUCUUUUUGUAGAGGCAGCAGUUUGGAAUCUUGGACAAUGGGCGGAAGCCUGAUCCAGUGAUCGUGCGUGAUGGAUGAAGGCCAUGCUUGGUCGUAACCAUCUUGGUUUUGGGGGGAGUCUGUCUUGUCCAAAACAAAAAGUCCCGGCCAAUCUCGUGCCAGCCGCCGCCGUAACAC
rnacentral:rRNA from 1 species